AACCAACUUGCCAAACCUAUAGUUUGUUAACAAGAAAUUUGUGGAGUGGUUUAAAAACGAGUUUUAAUGACUUCCGAAAAGGUUGAUCUAUCACCAAAAAGGGUUCCCCUGUGGGGACAAGAACCCUAUGUCUUUGUACUUGGAAUCUUUAUUUCUAAGAGUGUAUCCUCUUUCUCAAGCAGUAAACAGGAGAAGCACCCAUAGUUUCCCUAAUGGUGCAACAAACGCUGGAAUAUAAAGAAUACACCACUAUAUCCAGCAUUCCUUACCGGCAUAAUCACUGGGCUGUGAAUACUUUUCAGUGGAACUGGUGAAGCUGAAAAGCAGAUUUUGGGUGUGUGUGAGACUUAAAUCCUGAGAUGCAUGUACCUCUCAUCAUGGUGAGCUAAAACCUGUUAAAACUUGAUUGCCCAUACCUCCAAUACAGUAAAUGUGUAGCUACUAAUGAUGUAUAUUGCAAUUGCCCAGAUAGAAAACAUGAAAGGGUUUAUUUAAAAAAGAAUUGGUCAUGUAACAUGAGCAUUUGGAUAAGUUUCACAUGACGGGCUGUGUGUGUUUGGGUUGUUCUUUCAUAUAUAGUUCCACAUUGAUCAUUGGUGACUGUCUACUCUCUGUAUGUUUGAUUGUUUGUUUUCUGGUCAUAGUUCCUCCACUAGUGAAUGUGACAGUUGAUGUUCCUCCUGUCAUUGGGGAGAAUGAGGUUAUCUUGGCAAACUGUGUGGCUGCUGGUGCCAAGCCACAGGCAGAUGUGAGGUGGAAGACAUGUGCAUUGGGCAGUUUGUUGAGCACAGUGACUAACUCCACCCAGCACACCAACGGAACCACCACAGUACUCAGCCACCUGCUCGGGGUGCCAACCAGAGCAGCCAAUCAGCAGCAGGUCCAGUGUGUGAUCAACCAGUCUGCCCUGGUAACAGAGAAGACCCACAACUACAACAUAAACAUCCACUAGACCUCUGUUGCCUGUUGGGUUCUACUCAUUGUCAUUCUCUGUCUGAUUGUUGCUGCGGACAGUUUCCUUGGAGUUCAAUCAUGGCCAAUCACCAGUUCCAGGCACCACCAUAGGUAUGUGACUAUGUUAAAGUCCACCAUUGUUGCUUGAGUAAUCUAUCUCAUCAGCCACUUUUUGCUAUGUAAUAAUACCUAAUGACAAAGUUGAGGAAGAUGAACCUGGGACUUCUGGGUUCUGACACUCCAAACCAGGAAGGCGGAUAAGGAACAAGUAGUUUGAUAAAUCACAGGACAGACUGCGAGCGGAUGCCAGAAGAAUCUCAGACAUGCACUGGGUGUGGGAAGAAUUCCAGUCUGCACAUUCUCCAAUUCUCCAACCAUCUAAUGAACAGAGACCCUAUGCAGUAUUCACUGUGACAUUAGAAACCUCGGCUCGGCCACUCCUCCACCACAGCUUUACAUAGUGCUGGCCCUCGUUUCAGUUUUUUAGCACCUCUCCUGGACUCCACCUUGCCUUGGUGGAGGGUCUUUGUGACUUCAGAGGGAGCAACAUUACUCCUGUAUGUGUGUAUGUGUGUAUGUAUGUAUGUAUGUAUGUAUGUAUGUAUGUAUGUAUGUAU